rnacentral:rRNA from 1 species
AACGAACGCUGGCGGCAUGCCUAACACAUGCAAGUCGAACGAGAUCUUCGGGUCUAGUGGCGCACGGGUGCGUAACGCGUGGGAAUCUGCCCUUUGGUUCGGAAUAACAGUUGGAAACGACUGCUAAUAUCGGAUGAUGACGAAAGUCCAAAGAUUUAUCGCCAGAGGAGGAGCCCGCGUAGGAUUAGCUCGUUGGUGUGGUAAAGGCGCACCAAGGCGACGAUCCUUAGCUGGUCUGAGAGGAUGAUCAGCCACACUGGGACUGAGACACGGCCCAGACUCCUACGGGAGGCAGCAGUGGGGAAUAUUGGACAAUGGGCGAAAGCCUGAUCCAGCGAUGCCGCGUGAGUGAUGAAGGCCUUAGGGUUGUAAAGCUCUUUUACCCGGGAUGAUAAUGGCAGUACCGGGAGAAUAAGCUCCGGCUAACUCCGUGCCAGCCGCCGCCGUAA